AACGAACGCUGGCGGCAGGCCUAACACAUGCAAGUCGAGCGCGCCCUUCGGGGUGAGCGGCGGACGGGUGAGUAACGCGUGGGAACGUGCCCUUCUCUGCGGAAUAGCCUCGGGAAACUGAGAGUAAUACCGCAUACGCCCUUUGGGGGAAAGAUUUAUCGGAGAAGGAUCGGCCCGCGUUGGAUUAGGUAGUUGGUGGGGUAAUGGCCCACCAAGCCGACGAUCCAUAGCUGGUUUGAGAGGAUGAUCAGCCACACUGGGACUGAGACACGGCCCAGCCCCCUACGGGAGGGCGGAGGGGGGGAUUUUAGAACAUGGGGGCCACCCUUAUCUAGCCAUGGCGGGGUAGUGAAGAAGGCCUUAGGGUUGGAAAGCCUCUUCAGCUGGGAAAGUUAUGGCGGGACCAGGAGAAGGAGCCCCGGCUAACUCCGUG
rnacentral:rRNA from 1 species